rnacentral:rRNA from 1 species
GUGCCAGCAGCCGCGGUAAUACGGAGGAUCCAAGCGUUAUCCGGAUUUAUUGGGUUUAAAGGGUGCGUAGGCGGUUUGAUAAGUUAGAGGUGAAAUACCAGGGCUCAACUCCGGAACUGCCUCUAAUACUGUUGAACUAGAGAGUAGUUGCGGUAGGCGGAAUGUAUGGUGUAGCGGUGAAAUGCUUAGAGAUCAUACAGAACACCGAUUGCGAAGGCAGCUUACCAAACUAUAUCUGACGUUGAGGCACGAAAGCGUGGGGAGCAAACAGGAUUAGAUACCCCUGUAGUCC